rnacentral:rRNA from 1 species
UACGUAGGGGGCAAGCGUUGUCCGGAAUCAUUGGGCGUAAAGAGCGCGUAGGCGGCCCUGUAAGUCCGCUGUGAAAGUCAAGGGCUCAACCCUUGAAUGCCGGUGGAUACUGCAGGGCUAGAGUCCGGAAGAGGCGAGUGGAAUUCCUGGUGUAGCGGUGAAAUGCGCAGAUAUCAGGAAGAACACCCGUGGCGAAGGCGGUUCUCUGGGACGGUACUGACGCUGAGACGCGAAAGCGUGGGGAGCGAAAAGG